UUUAACGUAAUUGCCAUGCAAAUAAUCGUCACUAUUCGAAAUGAACGCACACUUUUUCUGCUUAGCCUAUUUAAGUAACUGUACUACAAUCCCGUUAUCUGAACACGACGCAGCUCAAACUCCAAAAAAUUUUGUUCAUAACCUCUAUGAAUAAUUUUCUUUGAAAUAAGUGAAAAGAAAUAACUGAGAGUUUUAAGAUAAACACGUUAAAUUAUUUUAAUACUUUAUAACAGUGGGUGAACGCAGACUUUUUCUACCAUGUGUAUAUAUAUACAGUGCACAGCAUAAAUCUUGAUACCCUACCAUUUCUAAGUAUGAAUUUAAGAAAUUUCACACAUUAUUAUAGAUUCUGAAAAGCUUUAUUAAUAUAUGAAUAAUACACAUUCUACUCUUUCGUAAUAAAAAAAGAAUCAACUUUGUUGCUGCAUCAAUAACGGCAAGAAAAAUUAUAACUGUAAGUAAGAAAUUCGUUCAGCGAAAGUGUUCAUACGCUCGCACUUUGAAGUAGCCAAUGGGCGAAAUAAUGGUAGUUUUGAUUUGCGAUGUUUUGAAAUAGUAUUUGUUGGCAGAAAUCGGGAAAACCAUCAGAAAGAGUAAAGCAAUAGUGCAAAAUAUAAUACAAUGAUUGAAUAUAAGCAGAGAUCAGGAAGUUAGAAAACAAUAGAAAAAAUCCCUUCGAUAGUGCUCCAAAUAUAGCUACUGUAUUGCAAACAUCUCUAGACACCAUUGUUUCCUCGGAUACAGUGUGAAAGUCAAUCGAGGGAAAUGGAUGUAAGGAAUGUAUAGCUAGAAAAAAGCUAUUUGUGAUGCUGAUAUAAAUAAAAUGUUCGAAUUUGCCAAAACUUAUCACCUCAUAAAAUUUGACUUAUGGGACAAAGUAAUUUUCUCCGACGAAUAGAAAUACAAUAUUUUUGGAUAUGAUAGGCGAGUUAAAGUAUGGAUAAAGCGAAAUGAAGAAUUACAAAUACAAUUAAAACAGAGGUGGAGGCAUCAUGGUUUGGAGCUACAUGUGUUCGCAAUCUUGUUUCUAUUGUUCAAAUAAGAAGUAUAUGUAAAGAAGUAUAUUUAAAAAUCCUUCAAGAAAACUUGUUACAAAGCGCUGAAAGAACGGGAUUGUCUGGUGGAAUUUUCUUCCAGCACGACAACGAACGCAAACUGAAACACGUGCCUAAUACAUAAAGUACCUCAUUUGUUAUCAACGCCUCCACAGAGCCCAGAUAUGAACCCCAUAGAGCAUUUAUGGGAUCAUUUGCAAAAACGAUUAAGGAAGCAUCACAUAAAUUCCAAAAAUCAACUUAAAAGCUUGCGCCAAGUCGAAUGGCAAAAUAUAAAUUCGGACUAUACGAAAAACUUCAUUCACUCAAUGCCUGACCGACUAGAAGAGGUUAUUCGAUUACGAGGAUAUCCUACUAGAUAUUAAAUAUUUUCUAUGAAUUUUUCAUUCUUAUUUGAGAAAAUAUUAAAAUCUUCAAAAACGUUCGUGAGUUGAGAACACACAUUCACUCUCUGCUGAAGGUUGGCGACGGAAAGUCUAUGCGGAAGCCAUUUUCCCAGCUUUGAAACCUUUCCCAACUGAACCAGGUGUCUGUGAACUGUUCCAUGCAAUGAAUUUAACCUCUGAGCUAUCAUAUCGACUGCCAAAUUUGGCUCAGCUUCCACGAGUUCGAGUAAGGCGUCGGAGUUAAAGACUUCAGGACGAUCAGCGCGCGGGGCAUCCUCCACGUCGCACAGUGAUUCAAGUAUAUGGGCUAAUCGGACAAAAAUCACUACUCCUGUAUUCAGGGGCGGAUCGUGACAUUGUGGGGCCCUGGGCUAAUGUUACUCGGGGGCCCUGUUUUCUAUGGUAAUGCAGUAUAUAGUUAUCAGAAAAAAAAUCAUCUUAUAAAAACAUUUAUUUAUCAAAACAAAUAUGACAAUAAAGAAUAUUAAAUUACAAAUCAAUCUUUCUGCAUUUUCGUGCAGCGAAUUCCAUUAUUUGCUCAUCAACUGCUAAAUCCUUUGUUAGAUCACAAUUUAUCGAAAGAAGAGAUAAAUGAUUAAGUCGAUCGUUCGACAUUGUUGUCCUAUACUUAUUUUCAAUAUAUGACAUCCUGGAGAAAGAGCGCUCCGCUUCGCAGCUGGUGAUGGGCAACGUCAAAAAAAAUUUUAAGAUGGUGUAACAAUUAGGAAAUACACCAACAAGAUCCCUUUCAUAGAUAAGCUUAUAAAUUUCACUGCAAGAGGUGUAUCAGUCUGAUUUAUAUUGUAGUAAGUAUAAUUUUAAUUGAAUGCAUUAAUUUACUAAAUUUUCAUCUACGUCAUCUGAAUAAUAUUUUACAAUAUUGCGUACACUUUCCAGAUCCACACUUUCCUGGUUUUUAUUCUGCAAAUCCAUUAAAAAAUUAAAUUUUUUGCUGGUAGUCUCAUAGACUUGACCCCUUUCAUUUAAAUCCAUAAUCAGCUUAUCCAAUGCAACGUUUAGCGUGUCUCUCUUAAAUUUUUCUGCGCCGCACACUGAGACUUUAGCAGUAGACUUAUCGGCAAAUUUUGAAGUAAUUUGUUUCUUGUAAUCGUCGCUGUAAUUUGUUUCCACACUAGUACUUAAUUUUUUAGCUUUCCCUUCGUACUCUUUUAGCUUCUGAUCAGAAUGCUGUCGUAUGUUGUACACGAACUCUUUUAACGAAACAAUUAAUUUAGUGCAUUUGCAAAUAUUUAUUUACUACAUGAAACCUCUCCAAAUUUUUUUCGCAAAAUGUGAUCAAAAUUGCAAAUGAGAGUUUCGCCAGUUUAUUAAAUAAACUUCGUGCCUCUUUUCUGAAAUCAGCUUUCUCAUCCUCAUUUUCGCUAAAAGUUCUUAAAAUUUUCAUAAUUUCAGAAUAAUGAUUUUUUAAAGCUUUGACAGCCUCAUAAUGACAAGACCAUCUGGUUUGGCUUAAACUUUUUAACGUAAAUUUUAGUUGCAUUUGGACACCUUUGUACUGACCCGACAUAUCUGUUUUUGAUAAGUACGAUAUUGUUGGUUUCGGUAACUGUAAUUUUCGUUUUUCUGCUCCACUUUUAUAUUUUCUUGUAGACAUUGAUUUGAUUUUGGUAUUCUAGAAAUAAUCAAAGAACAGAAUUAACCUAUAAUCGUUGAGGUAAUCUAAUAGGUACUAAUAUUUUGUACAAGUAACGCAAUUUAUUAGAAAAAACAUGCGAAUAAAUUUUUGAGUGGAUGAACCCGACCGCUGGAUGAGGAAUAAUUUUCUUAACAACUCCUGUCGAUUUGUUUGGUUGAAGCCACCGGUAAACUUAAUUUGUUUCACAAAUCAUAAAUCGCUAGCCUCUACAGAUUUUUGGAUUUUUUUCAUGUAGAGUUGGCCAUAAUUCGAAUUCCCAACCACCCUUACAGAAAUUACAGAGAACAUUUAUAACUACAUUUACUUAUGAAGUUGAUGCAAUUGCCUUUGCUUUGUUCUGAAUAUUCCAUGGAGCUUCACCGUCUCUUUUCAAAAUUCGAGACGUAUUAUCGCACCAACACUUUUUUAUGCACUACACUUUUUUUAAGAUAUAUAGUAACUUUAUUAGCAGCACACAGCCAGUUUUUGUUUAUUUUUGCACUUCGAAGACAAGCAUGAACUAAAUUCUUGAUCUACGGGGAGUCCCCAAAAUAUACGCAAUACACACGCACGCUAUAAAAUACACCGUCUAUAGACAAACGAAGUGGCAGGUGAAUUACCGAUUCGUUUCAUGGGCGCGCACACGAGUUGAUCGAUUUUAGUUGCCAAACUUACGAUUUUUUUUUUCGUUGCAAGUAACGUUCGCACACGUGUGCAAACAAAAGAACAUAUAUAAAGUCAAGUAUCAAUGUUUAUGUCAGCGCAGGAUAAGCACUGUCAAAAAGUGUGAGUACCUAAUUAGUUGGCACUUAACCGUUUAAACGGUUCUGGCCGUCUAGUGUUUUUAGUAGAAAACUAAUGUGAGUGUGGUAGUAAAAUAUCAGUGCGUCUUGUAGGGCAUUCGUAUUUUAUUUUUAUUGGUGGCUGGGGGCCCUUUGCAACCACGGGGCCCUGGGCUGAAGCCCAAAAAGCCAUUAGGUAGAUCCGCCACUGCCUGUAUUACUUUACCGAUUUUAAUUUAAUAAAAGCAGUUGUGUAGCUCAUGUAUAGAGUUACAACUGUAGCAUGAAAAAAAAGUUCUGGGCUAAGUUAGGAGGCAGGAAGUAUAAACGAAAAAUUUUAGAAUAUUAAACAUUGAACUUUUAAUAAUAUUAAUUUAUUUAAAACAAUAAUUUUUGCUAUACAUUUCAAAAAAUCAAAAUUAUGUUUCCUCUUUAAUUAGCUAGGAAUAUUUUUAACGCAUUCACCAACUUUAUAUAAUAAACUUUAAAUAAUAAAAGAAAAAAUAAUAUUUUUCAGUAGUACAAAAAAAUAUACUUAACAUAGGAAAGGAAGAAAAAGAAAAUUAUUUAUUGCAGUUAGUCACUAUCUGAAAUAUUUUCUAAAUCAAAUUGAUUUACAUUUUCCUCUAAAAUAUAGGUUUUAAUAUCCGAAGAAUUAAAAAAAUGCGAAGUGGUAGUCUUUCUCAGAGAAGAUAUAAAGGGGUCUGAUGUUACUAGUAAAUAUGUCAUAAUAUCUUUAUUAGUGUUUAUUCUAGAAUUUUUUCGUGUAUGAUAAAGACGACUAUUUCGUACCUCCUUAUGCCUAGCUUCAAGUGCGUCUUCUGCCAGUUGCCCUAUUGGUAAAUCAAAAUGUUUAAUGAUCUCUUCGCCAUGAACUAAUAAUUUAUGGACACUGGAAGGCAUAUAAAACCAGUCAUAUAAUUCAAUGUAAAGC